GUUCAACGUGACAAAUCGACCUGCAAGUUUCUAGUCAGUUGUGAGAAAAUCAAGGUGCUGUGAAGAGUUUCACGUGUUCUGAUUGACUACUGAAAGAAACAGAGUACCAGACGAGAUAAAUUCAUUACCAAUGAACCUAUAUAGGAAUUUUGGGAAUCUCCUGGAGAGUUGGGUGACCGAAGGAUACCAGGAUUUAUACUUACAGCCUGGACCUGAUGUGGACAGAUUAGAUUCCAUUUCUAGGGACUCCGUCCCACUAUCCAAUGUAAAAUCAGAAUCCGAGGACUCUGGAUUUGAGACGGUUAGUACAACCAGUCCCUGUCAUUCUCACCAGUGUAGUGCAUUGAUGUCUGAGGAAUCACAGCCAGUUUUUGGCUCUACAGAGGAUGAAGUUCAACCUUCAUCCCCGUCUCCUUCUAUUUGCUCCUCCUCAUCCUCAAGUGUCGAUCUCAGCUCUGUGGCUCCAAAAACGACAUGUCUGGAGGUGGAGCAAGCCUUGAGAAGGACAGAUUCACUCUCAUGGAGAAGACCGCCACAUCAGAUGGAAAGGGGGACCACUGGGCCACUGUAUUGCUCUAACACAGCCUCUUUUCCAACCAGCUUUCACUCUAACAGCUCCAGACCACAUCAUCGGUUUGCUCGUCCAAGAAGAACUCAUUCACAACCAUCAGAUCCCAAGAAAGCAGCACUGUACAGAAAACGCCUAAAAUUACAUCAACAUGGCCAAACAGUACACAGCCAGUUGGAGCUUGCAGGCGGUGAUCAAUACAGGCUGGACAAGCUGUCUCCAGGGUUGCUGUACCUGGAGCAGGUGUGCAGGAUGCUAGAGAACAUUGCAAAGCUACAGCAGCAAAACUACAGCCUCCAGAAAGAGGUGGAGAUCCUGAAGAGUCAGCAUGCUGAAAUAGAGUGUGGAAGCUUGCAUGAGGAGGAAAUAAGCUAUCCUGCCAGUCAAGGUUUACAGAUUCUGGGUCAUGAAGAUCCACCCAGCGAAUCGACUCACCUAAAAGAACCCAUGGUGUUUCGUCACAGAUCAGUAUCUGACACUCAGGCAGCUGUCGGCCAUCACAGUAAGCCCUCUUGACAGAUGAACUCAGUGCAAGUUCAAAU
rnacentral:lncRNA from 1 species